rnacentral:tRNA from 1 species
UUUAAGUAGUUUAAUUUAAAAUACUGGUUUGUGGAAUCAGAGUUAUAAAGUGUUAUCUUGAAUAA